UGGGGAAUAUUGCACAAUGGGCGCAAGCCUGAUGCAGCAACGCCGCGUGAGGGAUGACGGCCUUCGGGUUGUAAACCUCUUUUAGCAGGGAAGAAGCGAAAGUGACGGUACCUGCAGAAAAAGCACCGGCUAACUACGUGCCAGCAGCCGCGGUAAUACGUAGGGUGCAAGCGUUGUCCGGAAUUAUUGGGCGUAAAGAGCUCGUAGGCGGUCUGUCGCGUCUGCUGUGAAAUCCCGAGGCUCAACCUCGGGCCUGCAGUGGGUACGGGCAGACUAGAGUGCGGUAGGGGAGAAUGGAACUCCUGGUGUAGCGGUGGAAUGCGCAGAUAUCAGGAAGAACACCGAUGGCGAAGGCAGUUCUCUGGGCCGUAACUGACGCUGAGGAGCGAAAGCGUGGGGAGCGAACAGGAUUAGAUACCCUGGUAGUCCACGCCGUAAACGUUGGGCGCUAGAUGUGGGGACCAUUCCACGGUUUCCGUGUCGCAGCUAACGCAUUAAGCGCCCCGCCUGGGGAGUACGGCCGCAAGGCUAAAACUC
rnacentral:rRNA from 1 species